GGCCUGCCAAGCUGGAGCUGACGAUAGACAUCCUUAGCAUGGGUCCGGAUCAUGGCGUGCGCUGAAAGGCCACGUUUUGACCUGCAAAUCAAGCUGCCGUUACCGGUUUCCACGGCGAGGGAGAGAGAGAGGACGUCCAUUAGGGUUUGUGUCUUCGGUGGAAGAUUACAGGGCCAAGUUGAUCCGGCUGGCUAAUGCAGUUCUUUCCACGAGUCAGAGAAUGGCUGUCUAGAAGACCGACCAUUUGGAGGAUGAAGACUGCACAUUGCAAAGGAAAAUUUUUAUCUUCAUCCUUUGGACGUGAUGCUGCAGGCAUAGGUUUUCUCUCAUUAUGUACAAGUGCAGUUUUAUCCGUGCAUCUCAUGUUUAAUUCAGUCAAUGCAGACAACAUGGAAAAGAUGUAUGUAUAUCACAUUCUAACACGCACAGUAAAAUUUAUAUUACAUAUCAUCAUUUCCAGUUUUGCUUAGAUUUCCCUCAAUAUGGAGAUCCAUCUUCCAUAUUUUGUAAGUAUUAAGUUAAUUUAUAAUGGCUAUUUGGUUACAGAAUAUAUUACAAAUUUCGUUGAUGAAACUAACAUCAAUCCACCUUCGUGAAAGAGAGGUCUCAAGCUUUCCUCUUGAAAGGCAGAGAGAGAGAGAGAGAGAGAGAGAUGCUGCUUUUUGGUGUUUGCUGUUGGUAGAAUAAGAAUAAGAACAAGAGUUGGCCCAAAGAGGGGAGAGGCCAGUGGGUUGCACUGGAGGGAUUGUAUUGGAGGAGGAGAGUGAGCCAUCUUCUGCUUUGAAAAACACUCGAACACUUCUGCUCCUUGGCAGGUGAAUGAUGUGAAGUCACCAGUUUGUGCUCUGCGGAAGGAUCGUUGAUUAUUGGUGAACAAGAAAAAAAUAAUAAAAAGGAAUACAAGGCCAUUAAGACUGAACAACAGCAAUGCACGAAAACUUGAUCAACGAAGAUAUGUCUGUGUUAGGAAGACAUAAUCGGAGGUUGAUCCUUAAUGGCAAUAUACCAUGUGCACACUUAUUUAUAUUUUAGAUUUAUUAUGAAAUUCUGAACUUGUAACUCUGCUCUCCUGUCUGUGUGCACUUUCUUCUCUCUCUCUCUCUCUCUAAUUAAGCCCAUGCAAAUGAGAGCCAAUUGUUUGAGUCAGUCCAGAAGCAAAAAUGAGUAGCAAGACUUUAAUGGAACAAUAUCUGCCUGAGCCUUGUGGUACAUGUAUAUAUGAGAACAGUUAAAACGGCCUGCUAGGUGUCCUUAAGUAAUCACUUGGUGAAGUAUUAAACAUGAAAUUACCAUGUGAUAAUGCACAAGUUAAUGGACCUGAAAGAAUCUGCCCUUUGAAGAAGCUUAAUAGACCAAUGGCCCAGCUGCAUGAACUGAAAGUGAUGAGAUGUUGAAAAUGCUCCUAUUUUUUUUUCACACGUACAGCAUACAUAUACAUUAUACAGUAACUGUGUAAUGUAUAUAUAAUACUUAGGCACUGCUGCAGAGUGGGUCUAGAGUGGGUCCAGACUGGUACCAUAUCCGUUUUGAGCCCAAAGAAUCAGGUCCUACAUCAUGAUCCAAUUUGCAGGUGAUAUGAUGGAGGUGGAAGCUCGGUUGCAGAUCCAGAUCCCUGCCAGGCUCAGGUUCUAGGCUCACUCAAGCAACCAAGGGACAGAGGCUUGCAUAUAGCCUGUCAUAGAUGGGCUCUUGAGAUUCUUUUUAGUUCAGAUCUAUAUUUUAGAUCCAUUCAUGCAUUAUUAUUCGUUCCUUAGGUAUUUUUGACUUUUUAUUUUGUUUAGUCUGUCAUUUGAAACAGGUAAUCAUUGAUUGAAGUGCUUUUCCCUUCUUUUCUUUGGUUAUCCUUUUCUGUUCUGUGUAUUUUCUUCAUCAAUCAUUCAUUAGCUGACUAUCAUAAUAGUGUGAGGUUUAAGGCAAAAUCCCUAUGCCUUAUCAGGCAUACACACACGCAUCCACGUGUAUUUUCUCCAUGGAGCUAAUUGCAUAUGCUUGCAGGAAUUCUUAUACGACAUGAGUUCACCAAGAACGUAAUGUAACUUUCUAAAGGAGACUUAGUUGCUGAGAUUUAACAAAUAAGCUUCCCAUGAGUGUUGCAAUCAUUGCUGGCUUGUCAUGCCUGUUGCUGAUAUGAGACUAAUGUAUUCUCAUUUUACACAUUUCUUGUUAAAAUUGCUCAUUGUGGGCCUCGUGGUGUGUGCUUUUUUUACUGCAGAGACAUUUGCUUCUUAUUGACAGGUUCAGGCAUGUUAACUUAAUAAUUACUAUUGAAGCUCAGACGUUAAAAUUCAUGAAAGUUCCUCUACAGUUUUUUUUCCUGAAAUGACACUUUUUUGUUGAAUUUUCCUGUAGAUUCAUGGGGCAACAUGACAUGGUCUUUUACUUUAAUUAUAUAAUUUUUUUAAAGAUUUGAAUGUAAGUGAAAUAUCUUAGGGGUGGAUGUGGUCCUUGAGUCAUUUGCCUGACCUAGCCUGAUCAAAGAGGGCCUUCAACUCUUCAAUGUAACUUUGCAGAGACUUGUUUGUGGAUGAGAAGGAUUUGGAAAUUUCUUCCGUCUAAACCAUGCUGUGCGAUUAUAAGUGUCACAUGGCUGUCAACAUCAUGCCUUCCUAACAGCUCCUUGAAAUCUAUUUUCCAUUAUAACAUAAUUAUUGCUAGGGGAAACCUACAUACUUUGUUAUAUCCAUUCUUAAAGCGCAGGAGCCAAUGCUGCUAACACACAAGGAACACCCUGGCUUUACUUGAACAACUUGAUCAAUUUGGUGGCUUGAAAUUUGAAAGCUGUGAUUUCCCUCUCAGACAGAUUGUAUGCUUUGUCAGGUAGUUGGCUGUUCUCAUAUGGAAGAAAUUGAUGCAGAUUCUAUAGCAGUAGUAAUAAGCAAUUAUUUCCUUCCAAGGGAUGUUGAAGUUGCUAUCAGUCUCGUCAUCCUCACCUUUCCUUUGUCUAAAGAAAGUUUUGUAUGCUUCCUUGGUUGUGGCUUAGAAUGAUAGGCCUAGUCAUACUUCUAGAGCAGGCCAAAGGUCAGCCAUAUUUAGUUUGGCAGGAUGGUCCAUCCUUAUCAGGACUUUCUGCUGGUGAACAGCUUCUUGUAUGGCCCACAGCUGAUGAAAAAGAAGGGGUUUUCCAAGUUUUUCAAUGUGCUUCCAUGCUGCUAUAAUUGGGUCACUUCCGAACCAUUUAUUGUUGAUGCUGACUCAUUCCAAGGCAGGAAACUAAAUUUUUUCUUGACUAAAGCUGAGCUGAACUUGCGUCAGAUGAUCAAUCCCUUUAAGGCCACUUCUUUUUCCAUGUUUAUGUUUCUCCACUGUGCAGUCAAAAGAUCAUUUCUGUGAUAUUGCUUCAAAAAGGAUAUUGGGCUUCAUGUAAACUCUAAUUAAGAAGACUAAAAGUUGUGCUGCGUAGGAUAAACUAAUGGAGCUGUAGAGUGCAAGGCUUUUCUUAAAAGUACAUGGAGACUAGCAGUAGUCAGGUCCAUGAUUUCUGUAGUGAAAAUGGAAUAUGGAACCAACUGCACUACUGGAUGAAGUAGCCUGCAUCUUUUGAUAGUAAAAGUAACCUGCAUUUGCUUUUGGUAUCAAUGGCAGUUGCUCAUGCAUUUGUUCAUGGCUGUGGGUAACAUUCUUGGUUCGCCAUUACUUCUUUCAGUGCAUGGUUUGAAAGGGGUCCUUCACUUUGACUUCAUCAUAUGGCCUAAAGUCGUACCCACAUGAAAACUGCUUUCUUGAAAUUAUGCUUCUAGCCUUUAGUAGAUGCUGCACCCUCAUAGCAGCAGGCUGAAUUUGCUUUGUUCUUUAAGCAUCUAUCAUGGUAAGUGUCGUCAAAUAUGCUUGUGACUGUUAACGUGGUUCAAUCUAUUUCUCCUACUUCAGGACACUGAAUGGGAGGAGGAGUUGACAAAAAUAUUGCAUCAGAUGGGGAUGAAAUUCCCAGCUGUCAUUAUGCUGGAGAAUAAAUGGGUCGUUGUCUGCUUAACACUAAUUCUUGGGCUUUACGGUGUGUUGUAAAUGGGGAUGUGGUUGGUCGGGAAUCUUUAACCUUCUGUCUUCCUUCUAUUUGACAAACCCUUGAUUUAGUCAAUAAUCCAAAACUGGAAAUACUUUUCGAGGGAAUUGUGGCAACUUUUUUUUUGUGGGUUUAUCUUGCUUGCAGGUUUUAGAGUUACUCUUCAUUUUUACCAUGUAAUUUAAUUUGCAUCUCUACAUUUGAGAUAUAUGGUCUGUUUCCUAGUCGACAUGUUGAUAUAUUUGGUAGGCAAUUUACUGUGUCAUGCAAUAAUUCUCCACUUGUGGAGAACCAUUAUUGAUUCGCCAAGGUAUGGUGUCUCCUUUGACAUUUUUUUGCCAUUCACUUGCCCUGGUCCAUAUGUGUACCUAAGAUAUUGCUCCUAUCUGUUUGUAUACAGGACCAGCCUGUGGUGUCAUUGAAAUUAACCUCAGUAAUUCCUCAGUACAGAGUGAAUCGAGGAUGCUUCCGUUCUUCGAGGUAGUUCGAAGCCGACGUGUUCCUGGAGCUUUCUGACCUUUGGUUAUGAUCCCGAUGUAGGAAAGUGGCGCCGUCCUGGAUCACGGCAGACGAUCUCCAUGAACAAGGCCGCACAGAGAGGGAGAGAGACACGUGCAUGUAUACUAGAUAUGCGUGCUUAUUCUUUUUGUACUGUAUUUCUUUAACGUUUUGCGAGAGAGCUUGAAGCAGAACCAUCUGGUUUUUGUUC